GUUUUGUACAGCUCUGGUCAGCAUUACCGUAACUGGUCAUGGGUGAGUUGUUCAUAGCUGUGGGUUCUACUGCACCAGCCCUCAUCAUGCCAUGCCUGCAGUCCUCUGCUCUGCAACCUGUGUCCUCACUUCUCAAGGUGUGCGUAAUGAUGCAGACUGCAUCAUUAUGAUGGUGUAAUUUGCUUCCUGCUGUUUUCAGGGUUGUCUUCAUCCUGAGGUAUUCUAGUGCACUCUUGUGCCAAUCAUAUUUGUCCAUUAUGACUGUUUCUGUUUUUUUUUUUAUUUCAAUUCUCCUCUGACUUAUUUUUCACUUUUAUUGUGUAAUGUUUUUUUUUCAGGCAAUUGCUGACCUAGUAAGCCUGAGGCAGCCACGACAUACAUGGUUCUGGAUUAUUGUUAAAAUGUUUUUCCCUCCUUUUUAUGAUCCUGAAAUAAUGUAUAAUUGAUCCUCUGAAAUUACAUACACACACCCAAAAAAAAAAAGCUAAUACUGUGUAACGGUAGAUUUAUUAUAACAUAUUCCCAAAGUUCUGCAAAGAUCAUGUGAAAUUGGCCCUUAAUGAAGGGUAGUGUUAAAAUGUAAUCUAAUAUAGCUAUUUUUAUUCUACAUUGCUUUUAUGCUCUAGAAAGCAGUCCACUGAUAUCCUGGAAGAACAGAAUCCUUUCCUUUAAAAUCCUGAGGUGCUGAGGUAGAGACAGCAGUUCUAGAAACCCUUCCUUUUCAGCUGUGGUGCUUUUUCUGAAAAAAAGAGAAGGACAGACAGAGAGAACCAUGGUGCUUGUUCUAGAUCUGGUAGAAUGGGUGGUUGUUCUCAGCUGGAGACCAUUAUAAUGUAAGUUAAACAGUUUUACCAUAUUUCCUUACAGCUGCUAUACCUAUAUUUAAAGAAAUUUAAGUUUGUGUCAUUUGUUGUAAGCUGAUGACUUCUCAUGAUACCAUUUUCUUUGUCUUCCAGAUCUCUGAUAGAUAAACUGAACAAAGAGAACAAAAAUUGAUUGACUAUAUGUGACUUUGGGAAUACUUGCAAUGGGCUAAGAAUGUCCAUUUAAACAUGCCUGUAUAAGCAGAUAUAGGCAGUUAUGUACUAGCUCUUCCAACAUUCUGGACUGGCCAGUCACAAGUCAUCUCUGGACCAGGUGCUGUCUAAAUUAAUUUCAGAGAGGCUGUAU
rnacentral:lncRNA from 1 species